rnacentral:rRNA from 1 species
GACGAACGCUGGCGGCGUGCCUAAUACAUGCAAGUAGAACGCACAGUUUAUACCGUAGCUUGCUACACCAUAGACUGUGAGUUGCGAACGGGUGAGUAACGCGUAGGUAACCUGCCUGGUAGCGGGGGAUAACUAUUGGAAACGAUAGCUAAUACCGCAUAAUAUUGAUUAUUGCAUGAUAAUUGAUUGAAGGAUGCUAUUGCAUCACUACCAGAUGGACCUGCGUUGUAUUAGCUAGUAGGUGAGGUAACGGCUCACCUAGGCGACGAUACAUAGCCGACAUGAGAGGGUGAUCGGCCACACUGGGACUGAGACACGGCCCAGACUCCUACGGGAGGCAGCAGUAGGGAAUCUUCGGCAAUGGACGAAAGUCUGACCGAGCAACGCCGCGUGAGUGAAGAAGGUUUUCGGAUCGUAAAGCUCUGUUGUAAGAGAAGAACGGGUGUGAGAGUGGAAAGUUCACACUGUGACGGUAUCUUACCAGAAAGGGACGGCUAACUACGUG